GGCGGCGCGCUUAACACAUGCAAGUCGCACGAGAAAGGGGAGCAAUCCCUGAGUAAAGUGGCGUACGGGUGAGUAACACGUGGAUCAUCUACCUUCUAGUGGGGAAUACCCCUGGGAAACCGGGGAUAAUACCGCAUAAGCUCGAAAGAGGAAAGCAGCAAUGCGCUGGAAGAGGAGUCCGCGGCUGAUUAGCUAGUUGGCGGGGUAACGGCCCACCAAGGCGAAGAUCGGUAGCCGGCCUGAGAGGGCACACGGCCACACUGGCACUGAAACACGGGCCAGACUCCUACGGGAGGCAGCAGUGGGGAAUCUUGCACAAUGGAGGAAACUCUGAUGCAGCGACGCCGCGUGAGCGAUGAAGCCCUUCGGGGUGUAAAGCUCUUUCGACGGGAACGAUAAUGACGGUACCCGAAGAAGAAGCUGCGGCUAACUACGUGCCAGCAGCCGCGGUAAUACGUAGGCAGCGAGCGUUGUUCGGAAUUACUGGGCGUAAAGAGUGUGUAGGCGGUGCUCUAAGUCUGGUGUGAAAUCUCCC
rnacentral:rRNA from 1 species